GACGAACGCUGGCGGCGUGCUUAACACAUGCAAGUCGAACGGGAAGGCCCUGCUUUGGUGGGGUGCUCGAGUUGCGAACGGGUGAGUAACACUUGAGUAACCUGCCCUUGACGUUGGGAUAACUUCAGGAAACUUGGGCUAAUACCGGAUAGGAGCUCCUGCUGCAUGGUGGGGGUUGGAUAGUUUCGGCGGUUGGGGGUGGACUCGCGGCCUAUCCGCUUGUUGGUGGGGUAGUGGCUUACCACGGCUUUGACGGGUAGCCGGCCUGAGAGGGUGACCGGCCACAUUGGAACUGAGAUACGGCCCAGACUCCUACGGGAGGCAGGAGUGGGGAAGAUUGCACAAUGGGCGGAAGCCUGAUGCAGCAACGCCGCGUGCGGGAUGACGGCCUUCGGGUUGUAAACCGCUUUCGCCUGUGACGAAGCGUGAGUGACGGUAAUGGGUAAAGAAGCACCGGCUAACUACGUG
rnacentral:rRNA from 1 species